GCGUGGACGAGAGGAGUUACCCCACGUCCGAGGUCAGGGGCAGUGGCCGAGUGCCAGGCUGCUAUGGCGCAGGAACGGCCGAGAGGAGCUACCCAAGUCCGAGGUCAGUGUCGGCUGGGAGGAGACACCCCACGUCCGAUGUCAGGGGCGGCAGCUGAGAGGAGCUACUCCGUGUCCCAGGCCAGGGGAGGCAGCCGAGAGGAGCUACCCCACAUCCGAGUCAAGUAGAAGUGGCCCAUACCAGGAAGGUGACAUUAGAGGGCUAAGGAUUCGGUCAGAACCAGUGAGAGACCUGUGUACAUACCCUAGUCUGGUUCAAGAUGAAUAUGCUAUCCAGAGUACAUCAUGAGAAAUGCUGUACUAGAUGAAGCACAAGCUGGAAUCAAGAUUGUUGGGAGAAAUAUCGAUAACAGAUAUGCAGAUGACACCACCCUUAUGGCAUAAAGCAAAGAAAAACUAAAGAACCUCUUGAUGACAGUGAAAGAGGAGAGUGAAAAAGUUGGCUUAAAGCUCAACAUUCAGAAAACUAAGAUCAUGGCAUCCAGUCCCAUCAUUUCAUGGCAAAUAGAUGGAGAAAGAGUGGAAACAGAAGCAGACUUUAUUUGGGGGCUCCAAAAUCACUGAAGAUGGUGACUAUAGCCAUGAAACUAAAAGACACUUGCUCCUUGGAAGAAAA
ensembl:lncRNA